UCCGAUCACCUCAAUCAGCACUGGACAGUUCAGAAAGACGCAAGAACUUGGUGCUGACACUGAUGUACAUGGUAGAAAACUUGAGAAAGUGGUAAGAAAAAAAGCAAUAAAAUCUCC
rnacentral:lncRNA from 1 species